ensembl:misc_RNA
AGGCAAAGCUAGACUAGGUCUUGGAAGCUGGUGUAAGGCGGUGCGCGGAAGGCAGGACGCUGAUGGGAGAGACUGGUCGAAGAAAAGCCGAAAUGGAUUCUCCGUGCCUUGGAUGGAGAAAGAGGGGGGAAGUGCGAGCUCCUUCAACUCGUUCUGUCCGGUGAGGAGUGAUCCAGCUUGGGCUGACGAGAGGCUCCGGAGCCUUCACGUUCAGUGCUUUUUACCUGCCAAUCAAACUGCUACAAGACAACACCCUGAUCUGGCAUGGUCGCGCGC